UAUACACCUCAGGUAUAGAUACACGGACUUUCGCGAUGAAGAACUACCUACCCUUUCACACAGUAUUUCAGAUGCUAUGCUGUUGCUGUUGCUGUCCCCAAAAACAAGAAUCAUGGCUCGUUGAGGAAAAGAAUCAGACUGUAGAAUACAGAGACAAACAAAGAGGGAGAGUAAUGGUGUAUGACUAUAACACCCGCCAUGGCGACCUGGAUAUUUGCUUGAAUGAUAAUACAAGGAGUCUCCAGUUAUAUGGCUUAGGGUUACAGAGCAACUUUGGCUUGCCUCUAGCAUAACAAGAUCUAAAGACCCUACAGUCAGAGGAGUCUACGGAACUUAUCUAAUACGGACUGGCCAGUGUUGACGGGCGCUUGCAAUCUCCAUUUAUAUGACGUUGUGAUAUGUACAUAUUUAGGCUUUGAAUAUGUCCCGGGAAACUGGAACAUGUAUUCCCUUCGCGUUGUUUAUCUGUAUGGUUUUGUUCCCUAAUAUGUUAAUUCUAAAAGGUCAAAUGACCUUCAAAUGUCCUUAUCAAUGUAUUACAAUUAAGUCAGUAAAAACGCUGUACAAGGUCAAUAACUAGAUCAUCAUAAUUCUAAAUAUAUGCUAAAACCAGGUCAGUUUCAUGAUAUAAAUAAGUGAGAACUAGGUCAGCUUAAAUCAUGCUAAAAUCAAAAUCUUUGUCAGCAUCAUGCUUAAAUCAAUAAACAAGUGAGAACUAGGUCAGCUUCAUGCUAAAAUCAAAAUCUAGUUAGAAUCAUGCUGGAAUCAAAAUAUAACUAGGUCAACUUCAUGCUUUAAAUAAGUUAUAUCUAGACCAAGGUCGUGUCAUUGAUUGUUAGGUUUACAAUUCCGCAUUGAUUGAUAGAGGAGAGUUAGUCAAAUUCAACAUGUGUCCAAUGUUUAUCCACACAAAUGUAUGCCAAACUAAUAUGCACGAAUAGGUUAUUCGAAGAUUUAAAUACACAAACCUCUAAUACCAAAGUUUUACUUUUUACACAAAAUUGUUUGUGUAAAAAGUAAAACUUUGACAUGACAUAUUUCCAAACCUCCAUAUCAUGUUUUUGCGCAUUCAAUAGACAGAUAUUUGAUAUUCACAAUCAUGUACAUAAUUAUUUAACUAUCUUAAUUUAUUUUUCGGGAUGUGAAAUGACAUUAAGAGAGUGAAAACACAUUCCAAAGAUCAGGACCAGUUGUUAUAAAAAUUGAUAUAAAAGGGAACAUCUCUCGAUCCUGUGUUGGUAGAGUUUGUGAGAUACUUACUAUUUGUACUGCCGAUCUAACCUUACUAAUAUCUGUGUAUUACCUGUAUCGUGUAAGUAACAUUGAUAUAAUGUGCUAUUCUGUAUAAUGAGGUUUUCCUCAUUUUUAUCAUCUUAUGACUUUCUUUAUACCGAAAUGUUUUCUGAACCUUUGUGCUUUGAUUAUCUGUUUUAAAAUGUAUGACAUUGCUUGUGUUUGUCAUUAUAAUGUGUUGAUAUGACGGUGAAUCCAGACCGUGGUUGCUCAAAGGUUGGUUUACAUAAACCAGUAGUGAAAAAUGGCUCUCAAAACAAAACAAAUCCCCAAACACAUAAGUUUGAUCUGUCUCAAUUAAUCUAUAGCA